rnacentral:rRNA from 1 species
UGGGGAUGACGUCAAGUCAUCAUGGCCCUUACGACCAGGGCUACACACGUGCUACAAUGGCGCAUACAAAGAGAAGCGACCUCGCGAGAGCAAGCGGACCUCAUAAAGUGCGUCGUAGUCCGGAUUGGAGUCUGCAACUCGACUCCAUGAAGUCGGAAUCGCUAGUAAUCGUGGAUCAGAAUGCCACGGUGAAUACGUUCCCGGGCCUUGUACACACCGCCCGUCACACCAUGGGAGUGGGUUGCAAAAGAAGUAGGUAGCUUAACCUUCGGGAGGGCGCUUACCACUUUGUGAUUCAUGACUGGGGUGAAGUCGUAACAAGGUAACCGUAGGGGAACCUGCGGUUGGAUCACCUCCUUACCUGAAAGAAGC